AUUGAACGCUGGCGGCAGGCCUAACACAUGCAAGUCGAACGAGUGGCGGACGGGUGAGUAAUGUCUGGGAAACUUCCUGAUGGAUGUGGAUUACUACUGGAAACGGUAGCUUAUUCCGCCUACCAUCGGAUGUGCCGAGAUGGGGUUAGCUAGUAGGUGGGGUAAAGGGUCACCUAGGCGACGAUCCCUAGCUGGUCUGAGAGGAUGACCAGCCACACUGGAACUGAGACACGGUCCAGAGUCCCAGGGGAGGCAGCAGUGGGGAAUAUUGCACAAUGGGCGAAAGCCUGAUGCAGCCAUGCCGCGUGUGUGAAGAAGGCCUUCGGGUUGUAAAGCACUUUCAGCGAGGAGGCGUUACUCGCAGAAGAAGCACCGGCUAACUCCGUGCCAGCAGCCGCGGUAAUAC
rnacentral:rRNA from 1 species